rnacentral:rRNA from 1 species
CAGUAGCCACGGUAAUACGUAGGUGGCAAGCGUUGUCCGGAAUUAUUGGGCGUAAAGCGCGCGCAGGCGGUUUCUUAAGUCUGAUGUGAAAGCCCCCGGCUCAACCGGGGAGGGUCAUUGGAAACUGGGAAACUUGAGUGCAGAAGAGGAGAGUGGAAUUCCACGUGUAGCGGUGAAAUGCGUAGAGAUGAGGAGGAGCACCAGUGGCGAAGGCGACUCUCUGGUCUGUAACUGACGCUGAGGAGCGAAAGCGUGGGGAGCGAACAGGAUUAGAUACCCCCGUAGUCCUGUCUCUUAUACA